UACAGGGGGUGCAAACGUUGCUCGGAAUUAUUGGGCGUAAAGCGCGCGUAGGCGGCUACCUAAGUCGGAUGUGAAAGCCCCUGGCUCAACCGGGGAAGUGCACCCGAAACUGAGUAGCUAGAGUGCAAAAGAGGGUCGCGGAAUUCCCGGUGUAGAGGUGAAAUUCGUAGAUAUCGGGAGGAACACCGGUGGCGAAGGCGGCGACCUGGGUUGACACUGACGCUGAGGCGCGAAAGCGUGGGGAGCAAACAGG
rnacentral:rRNA from 1 species